UAAGGAAUAUUGGACAAUGGGCGCAAGCCUGAUCCAGCCAUGCCGCGUGAAGGAUGAAGGCCCUAUGGGUCGUAAACUUCUUUUAUACGGGACAAAACCCCCCGACGUGUCGGGGGUUGAUGGUACUGUAAGAAUAAGGGUCGGCUAACUUCGUGCCAGCAGCCGCGGUAAUACGAAGGACCCAAGCGUUAUCCGGAUUUAUUGGGUUUAAAGGGUGCGUAGGCGGAUUAGUAAGUCAGUGGUGAAAGCCCAUCGCUCAACGGUGGAACUGCCAUUGAUACUGCUAGUCUUGAGUAUGGUUGAGGUGGGCGGAAUGUGUCAUGUAGCGGUGAAAUGCUUAGAUAUGACACAGAACACCAAUUGCGAAGGCAGCUCGCUAAGCCAUAACUGACGCUGAGGC
rnacentral:rRNA from 1 species